rnacentral:rRNA from 1 species
GAGAUGGAUAUGCGGUGCCUCCGAGCCAAACUCAGCGUGCUACCCUUCCCAGCCAAAAAAAGAAAACCCAAAUUCUCGUUCUCCUCCCGUUCCUUUUUCACUGUUCCACGCCUGAUCCAUAGAUUCAUCCACAUUCGUUGCUAGAUCCUGCCAAGGGAGGAGGACAGGGUGAGAAGGGGGAUUUGCGGUGGAGUGCGGUGGCUGCAUGCUCUCGGCGGCGGCAGGUCCUCCAGCCUGACCACACGUGCCUACUGCUCGCCGCCGCCGUCAGUUGGAUGGCCGUGGAGUUGGGCCCCUUUGAACCUGAGCGGUUCCUCUCCUCCAAGUAAUCUCUCCUCUUCCCAUUCCUUCUCCUCCCUUCCAAGAUGCUCGGCCUUCUAGGCUCCAGCAAUGGCGCGGAUUUUGGUUUUUUAUGGAGAUUUUCUAUGGCUAUCAGAAAUUUUUCCGUCCAUGUGAAAGCGAGUGGCCACACCAAAUCCAUCCACUGGCCUGCCCGUGCAUCACUAAAGCUGGGAAGGAGAUGCUCUUGAGGCCAGAUCGGACCAAGGCUGGGGCACGCGUUCCAGCCUCAGAUUUUGCACCCCUAGCAGCGAGGUCGUGAGGCAAAGCGGUCGCAUGGGAGGCUACUGGAGAAUAUGAUAAAUCCGUUUUGCUAAGUGGCGCUGCUCUCCUAUUUGUGCCACUGGGCCGAGAGCUGUGCCGUCGGGUUCGAUAGCCUUGUUCUUCAUAGUGUUCCUCGUCGUCUAUGGCAUAGUAAGGAUGGGUAUGACUACCUUACUACUCUCCCAACAUCCUUUGCAUUCUUCUUUUUCUGUGCACAGUAUAUAUGUACUUUAUAAAAAGCUUGUUUGCUUAGUUGAUCUGUUAAAUUUAUUCAAAGAUAAGGUUGAGUUACUUAGUUCUUCUGUUUUAUUAUAAUUCAGACAAUAAGAUUGUACAUUCUGACUAUUUCUAGGAUAUAAAUUGUAGAAUUAUUUGUCCUGCCAUUGAUGUGCCUUGCGUUGCUUUAGGGAAUUGAGCUUAUACUAUUUUUUAGUUAACAUUCUGCCGAACUUUGGUUACUGUCUCUUCAACACAUCCAUAUUAAUUAUAUGAAGUUUCGUAUAGCAAAAAGUGUUCAAUAUUACAUUGUCUUGUAGAGAGUCCACGGGUGGAGGCGUGUUGUGGGCUUGCUACUGCUGUCAGCUUCCACCUAUGUAAUGUCCUACAACUUUGCAUCAUUACUACUUGCUGUACACUGGCUGAUUCGUCACAGGUAUGCUUCCUCCCUGUAGUUUGAUAAAAAGGUGUAUUCUUUCUAUUUGUUGGUACCAUAUAGUAUUAGCAAGUUAUAUUAAUGAUAUGUGUUUUUAAGACAAAAGAAAAAGGCUUGCAUUUAUUAACUGAAUUUGGUCCAUAUGUGUUAAUUGAUAUGCAAUAGAGUUUUCGCAUGUGUUCUAGGUGAUGCAUAUAACACUGGAGCUUUUUUCAUUGUUCUCCUCAACUGAAAAGGCUAGACAGAAGAGAUGUUACCAAGAACAUAAAACUCAUUAAAGUGCAUGUUUGAAUUUUGUAGACCUUCCAUAGUAACCAUGAAUGUAAUUAGAAAAUGCAUGCAGGGAUUAAAUAUGCAAAUUGUACAUUGAUGGCCUAUGGAAAAUAUCUGAGCCCGAAUGGAUGAACUGAUGAUUUAGAACAACUCUUACUAACCUUUCAAAUUUCAGAAUUUACGGGAAUCACUUGUCGCAUAUGUCAUCUUCUACAAAAAUACUCUGCAGACAACAAAAUAGCUAUUGUUACUUUAGGAGUACAAAAUAAUCUAUUAGACUCAUUUUGCAGCGAUAAGAAAUAGCAUAUAGCAUGUUGUACAUGAAAAAAAUUGUGCAAUAGAAUUGUAGCGUGGCCUUUCACUUAUAUUAGACACUCAAAAACUAUAGUUAGUGUCAUAGAAACAUAGACUGAUUGGAACAUAUCUAGUAGAAUAUAGCCUUCAGGUGCAUAACUGAAACAACAUGCAACAGUACGAUUGUCUCUGACCACCCGGAUAAAUGUAUAAUAGUCCUUCCAUAGUAACCAUGAAUGUAAUUAGAAUUAUUUCACAAAAAAAUGAAUGUAAUUAGAAAAUGCAUGCAGGGAUCAAAUAUGCAAAUUGUACAUUGGUGACCUAUGGAAAAUCUUAACUCGAAUGGAUGAACUGAUUACUGAGAUCAACUCUUACUAACCAUUCAAAUUUCAGAAUUAAUGGAAAUCACUUGAAUUUAUAAGGAUUCACACACAUAUCAUCUUCUAGGAAAAAUCUGCAUACAAUAUAAUACUAUUGUUACUUAAUGACUACAAAAGUAAUCUAUUAUGUUCAUUUUUCAACGAUAAGAUUUGCAUAUAGCAUCUUGUAUAUCAUAAAAAUUCUGCAAACAAUAGUAGCUGCUGUUACUAACACAUCGUAUAAUAUGUAAUCUGUUAUAUCCUAAAUUCAGGACCUUUACGCAUUAGUCCUAAGGAUAGCAGUUAGCUUGUAUACAUAAAUUUAUCCUUUAUCAAACUGUAAAUCUAAUAUGCACAAUGAUCUGGAAAAAAAUACCAUUGGAUUUGGAUAUACAUGUCUUUAUACAUUUUGUCAAACACUUGGCAAGCAUGUCCAAAUUCUAACUAAAUGUUAGACAGAGGAGGGCUAGGAGUUGAUUAAAUCUAGAAAGAGGAUAGGGCCAUGUUUCAAACAUUUCUGUUAUUACGCCAAGUAAUACCUGCAUCUGGGGGUCGAUUUGGUUCUCUUUAUGCCACUUGUAAGUCACAUCUUUGGUGGUCAUCUUACUAUGCUUGUAGACCAUGUUGAUCUAUCCUCUUGCAGACAGUCCUACAUGCCUUGAUCGACCUAUGCAUGACACAACUCCAAGAUAGCACGAUAGCAUUCUUCCUGCUUUGCGACAUGAUUCUUGUCAAGUGUUUCCUAUGGACAGGAACAGGAUGAUGAGACGCGACUGGUUGCUGCUCGGGAGGCGGAAUCUUCAAAACCUAACCGAUUGAGGAGAAGAUCUUGUGGAGACUGGACACAGAAGGCAUGGCUUCGAGGUUUCAAUGGCGCUGUAGGAUGUGAGCUGCAGCCACACAGGACAGGAUGAAUAGUGCGGCCCUAGAGUAGACCAUCAGAAACCCUAGAACUGGGCUGCUCGAGAGGCAUAGUUUUGGCGUUUCGGUGGAUCUAUAGGAGGUGAGCUUUAGUUCCACAGGAGGAAUAGCUCGGCCCUAGGGCAAACCAUCAGAAACCCUAAAACCUGGGCAGACCAUCAGAAACGCUAAAACAUGGACUGCUCGAGAGGCAUAUGUCUUUGAGGUUCCGAUAGAGAUGUAGGACGUGAAUCAGAAUCAGCUUCUAGAGCGUACAUCUCUUUUGUAUGCAACGUGUCAGGAUUUUUUUUUUACCAUAUUGAUGCAUGUACGUGAACCUUUUUUUGAAGUGGCCCGUACGUCAACCUAACUCUUCCUACCUUUUUUUACGUGAUGACGCUUCCUUGCC